UACAGUCAUAUCCCCUUGAAACACUGGUCCCCAUACAAUCACCAAAGUUAAGCAAUGUCAAGCCCAGUCAGUAACUUGAUGAGUGACCACUUAGGAAUAUCAGGUGCUGUAAG